ACUUACAAUGCAUAACAAUCAUAAUUAGGUAUUAUAACCCUACUUAACAAUGCAUAACAAUCAUAAGAUAGUUUGGCGUAUAAGUAGGUAGGUAGGUACUAUCUAGGCCGAAGGUGGAAGCGAUCGACCCGGAAAUAUUCUCAACCAUCUCAACUAUCAUAAUAUGUAUUUAGAACAGUCCCUCCUUACCAAUGAUAUUAUAGAUACCAUUGCUCCUUACCAUCAAUGCAAUCGAGCAGACAAAGGACAUUGAUAAAAAUCGCCCUAAGAUUUUCAAAGACUUAGUAUGUACCAUAAUUUUAUGUAUAUUUUAUUUAUUUACUUGCAAGUGUCCAAACCUAUCGGACAAGUUGCAGUUCGAAAAAAUAUUUUAAAAGUAUUUAAACGAAAUCAAAGUCACCGACAUAUUGACAGAGCAGAGACAGAGAUGCGCUUUUUUAAUUCGAUUUAAGUAAAUAAUGGUAUGAUCGAUUAGACUAGAGUCUAAUCAUUAGACCUUUAGACGGGCGCAGAUCCGCCGCGCCCGCAGCGCUUCAGUGGAUUAUUGCAUUUUUUUAUGUAUAUUUAAUCACAUUUAUUUACCUACAUUUACAUAUUUACUCUUUUCUUUAAGUGUAGACACUGUUUAUGUAUAAGUCCACUAUUGCAUGCCGUGGCAACCUAUAAUUAAGGCAGCACUUAGAUUAAGUUAAAUACGUUGUAAAUAUUGAUUGUCUUCCAGUGUAUGUCUUGUUGGUUGUCCUAUUAAAUAAAUAAAAUAAAUAUUUAUAGCAACACAAUGUUUAAAAAUAAAAUUUUUCAAAAACGAUCAAUUUAAUCGAUUAUGUCUAUUCUAAAUGGACAUCCCUAUUUGUUAGUCAAAUUGUCAUUCACUCGCAUCACCUUUUCUCUCUCACUCACUCUUGCUGUGUUGCUGUCUUGCUUGAUCCUUCUUUGUGAUUCGUUUGUGUUUUAGCUUUUAUUUUCGGAACUUUAUUAACUACAAACUUGGCUAUUCAAACGGACUCUGAUUGAUUGCAAUAACGACAUACUCAGCCUGGGAUUUACUGUUUUUGUGUGGCUCGGCCAAGGCUCGGCUGGUGGUUCUAUGGUGUUAGAAAAUGAGCAACUUAAUUAUACACAACAAUGGGCAGCACCUCGAUCGGUUACAGCUCAUGAUCUUAUAUGCACAACAUGUUGGACCCAAGCCCAAGAUACAACACAAAUGCAUCUACUUCAAAUCUUAGCAGAAAAUGUGUGCUUUGCAGUAGAACACUAGAGCCUAGAACACGUUCACAUCAGCUCAUGUCCCUGAGAACUAACACUCAACAUCAUAUUAACAUCAGGAACAUAAUUGUGGAACGACUAACUCCAUUAGAGGUUACUGCAAAUGACUACAUCUGUGGGGCUUGUCACUCAUUAUUGCAAAGAGAUACCACACCUACUUCACAAGACUCUCCAGAUAUGCCAACCGGUGCCCCGGUAGGUCACCAACAAGUUUGUGUUGGAUGUGGUUGUUCAUUAUUGCGAACUUGAAGUCAUUGUUUGGAUACAGAGAAUAAUCAAGAUAUAUUAAACAUUGUUCGAAAUUGGAUUCAACCCAGAGAGAUUCGUCCUUCAGAUCUUCUUUGCCAUAGAUACUAUCAGAGAGCACGAAUUACUACAGUUGGUGCUUAUUUAAUGAAGCUGAGGACCGGUGAUUCAGAUGACAGAAUAGCUACAUUACUUGGCAUUUCAAGGAGUACUCUUACAAAAUAUGUAAUGAAAGCACGCAGUAUGAUGGAGGAACAUUUCGUACCAGCACAUUUAGGGUUACAACAUAUUAGUAGAGAGGAAGUAGCCCAAAGAAACCUUUAUGUUCCAGUCUCUUUUCGGGAAGCCAGGAAACGAUUUACCACAAAGAAAGGCUAUUGUCAUCAUGGAUGGUACAUACAUACAUUUAUGUGCAAAAAAGUAGCAAUUAUGCAUACCAAAAAAAAAACUUAUUCCCUAUACAAAUAUCGGAAUCUCGUUAAACCAUUUAUGGUACUUUGUUGUGAUGGCGACAUCAUUGAUGUAUUGGGCCCAUAUUUAAUAGAAAAUGUAGAACAUGACCAUUAAUAAAUAAUAAGUACCUA